rnacentral:ncRNA from 20 species
UUUAAUUCUGGCAGCGAUGAACUGAAGGCCGUAUGAUGGUCACUUGGCACUCAGGGAGCCAAUAGUGAAACCGGCCAGAACCUCC